rfam:Rhodococcus rhodnii LMG 5362 LMG_5362_contig073, whole genome shotgun sequence.
CGGGAUGUGGCGCAGCUUGGUAGCGCAUCCGCUUUGGGAGCGGAGGGUCGCAGGUUCGAAUCCUGUCAUCCCGA